rnacentral:miRNA from 1 species
CGGGGCCGGGACGCUGUCUGAGA